CCUACGGGGGGCAGCAGUGAGGAAUAUUGGUCAAUGGACGAGAGUCUGAACCAGCCAAGUAGCGUGAAGGAUGACUGCCCUAUGGGUUGUAAACUUCUUUUAUAUGGGAAUAAAAUGUUCCACGUGUGGGAUUUUGUAUGUACCAUAUGAAUAAGGACCGGCUAACUCCGUGCCAGCAGCCGCGGUAAUACGGAGGAUCCGAGCGUUACCCGGAUUUAUUGGGUUUAAAGGGAGCGUAGGUGGAUUGUUAAGUCAGUUGUGAAAGUUUGCGGCUCAACCGUAAAAUUGCAGUUGAAACUGGGAGUCUUGAGUACAGGAGAGGUGGGCGGAAUUCGUGGUGUAGCGGUGAAAUGCUUAGAUAUCACGAAGAACUCCGAUUGCGAAGGCAGCUCACUGGACUGCAACUGACACGGAGGCUCGAAAGUGUGGGUAUCAAACAGGAUUAGAUACCCCGGUAGUC
rnacentral:rRNA from 1 species